GAUGAACGCUAGCGGGAGGCCUAACACAUGCAAGCCGAGCGGUAUUAUUUCUUCGGAAAUGAGAGAGCGGCGUACGGGUGCGGAACACGUGUGCAACCUGCCUUUAUCUGGGGGAUAGCCUUUCGAAAGGAAGAUUAAUACUCCAUAAUAUAUUGAACGGCAUCGUUUAAUAUUGAAAGCUCCGGCGGAUAGAGAUGGGCACGCGCAAGAUUAGCUAGUUGGUGAGGUAACGGCUCACCAAGGCGAUGAUCUUUAGGGGGCCUGAGAGGGUGAUCCCCCACACUGGUACUGAGACACGGACCAGACUCCUACGGGAGGCAGCAGUGAGGAAUAUUGGUCAAUGGGUGCAAGCCUGAACCAGCCAUCCCGCGUGAAGGACGACUGCCCUAUGGGUUGUAAACUUCUUUUGUAUAGGGAUAAACCUACCCUCGUGAGGGUAGCUGAAGGUACUAUACGAAUAAGCACCGGCUAACUCCGUGCCAGCAGCCGCUGUAACAC
rnacentral:rRNA from 1 species